AUUGAACGCUGGCGGCGUGCCUAACACAUGCAAGUCGAGCGGUAACAGGUGUAGCAAUACAUGCUGACGAGCGGCGGACGGGUGAGUAACGCUUGGGAAUCUGCCUAUUAGUGGGGGACAACCCGGGGAAACUCGGGCUAAUACCGCAUACGCUCUACGGAGGAAAGCCGGGACCGCAAGGCCUGGCGCUAAUAGAUGAGCCCAAGUCGGAUCAGCUAGUUGGUAGGGUAAGGCCUACCAAGGCGACGAUCCGUAACUGGUCUGAGAGGACGACCAGUCACACCGGAACUGAGACACGGUCCGGACUCCUACGGGAGGCAGCAGUGGGGAAUAUUGGACAAUGGGCGAAAGCCUGAUCCAGCGACGCCGCGUGGGUGAAGAAGGCCUGCGGGUUGUAAAGCCCUUUCAGUGGGGAAGAAAAGCCUCGACCUAACACGUCGGGGUCUUGACGUACCCAUAGAAGAAGCACGGCUAACUCUGUGCCAGCCGCCGCCGUAAC
rnacentral:rRNA from 1 species